rnacentral:rRNA from 1 species
AUUGAACGCUGGCGGCAGGCCUAACACAUGCAAGUCGAACGGUAACAGGAAUCAGCUUGCUGAUUCGCUGACGAGUGGCGGACGGGUGAGUAAUGUCUGGGAAACUGCCUGAUGGAGGGGGAUAACUACUGGAAACGGUAGCUAAUACCGCAUAACGUCGCAAGACCAAAGAGGGGGACCUUAGGGCCUCUUGCCAUCGGAUGUGCCCAGAUGGGAUUAGCUAGUAGGUGGGGUAACGGCUCACCUAGGCGACGAUCCCUAGCUGGUCUGAGAGGAUGACCAGCCACACUGGAACUGAGACACGGUCCAGACUCCUACGGGAGGCAGCAGUGGGGAAUAUUGCACAAUGGGCGCAAGCCUGAUGCAGCCACGCCGCGUGUAUGAAGAAGGCCUUCGGGUUGUAAAGUACUUUCAGCGAGGAGGAAGGUGUUGAGGUUAAUAACCUCAGCAAUUGACGUUACUCGCAGAAGAAGCACCGGCUAACUCCGUGCCAGCCGCCGCAGUAA